UACAGAGGUCCCAAGCGUUGUUCGGAUUCACUGGGCGUAAAGGGUGCGUAGGCGGUCGGGUAAGUCUGAUGUGAAAUCUCACAGCUUAACUGUGAAACUGCAUUGGAUACUAUCCGGCUCGAGGAAUGGAGGGGAGACUGGAAUACUUGGUGUAGCAGUGAAAUGCGUAGAUAUCACUUGGAACGCCAAUGGUGAAAACAGAUAGCUGGGGUUGUGCUGACACUGAGACACGAAAGCCAGGGGAGCAAACGGG
rnacentral:rRNA from 1 species